UCACCGACUCUGGUGCAAACGAAAACGUUGACUCAUCACAUUCAUCAAACACAAAGACUUUACUUGGUGUUGGAUUUGGUACUUUCAUAACUACGCUAACUAUUGUUGGUAGUUGUUUAGUCAUUUAUAGGCACGUGAGACUGAGACGAAACUGCAGGCAAACUAGUAGAAAUGAUCCUUGUCAACAAACGGAAAACAUUCAGUCUUCUCCCCAAUAUGAAACAAUUGAUAACGGCAAGAAAGAAAGCAACCAAAGCAACCAGUACAGUCAGCUGCAAGCGCCACAUGAACAAGAGGAUGUCACAAGAGAAAGACAUGCAGACAAGACUGUUGAACACACCGAAACAGACCGCAAUAUCCAGGACUAUACCAAUAUCAGAAUAUAAAUGAACUUCCGAUAGUUCAGUUAAUUCUAAACGGUUUUUAAUACAUCAACUGUUCUGUCUAGAAACAGGACGUAUUGUACAGUUUUGUAUUGAACGAAUACAGACGUUUUACUUUCAUGGAAAAUGCACUAUAUUGUACAGGAGAUGAAUAAUGUUUAACUUUGUAAUAUUUUAUUGUAUAUUUUGAAUUAUUUGCCUUCCUUUGAAGUAAAGAACUGGCACAAACAUUAAAGAAUACAUUGUAAUACAUUUCUUUAAUAUAUCCAAUGCUGUCUUAGAGAAAAAUUAUAUGUAUUGUGCCUAUUCGUAAUAAAAAAUAUGCUUUUACCCCCAACUUUAUCAAUAAAAACAGGGCUAAGGCGAAAACCGUAAUAAUAUCAAGGGGUUUCGCAAGUGCAUUGUGGGUGGACGGAUAGCUCAGUGGUUUGCACACUGGCCUUCUAAUCCUGAGGUCGGGGAUUCGAUCCCCAGCAGCUACUCGGGAAUUUUCAGAAACGCUUUUCACUGUUUCCCACCCAACUAGAGGUGUACUGGUCAGGAACCCAGGCAAUCCUUGUGUGUAUCAGUGCUAUACACUGGGCACGUUAAAGAACCAGGCUGU